rnacentral:misc_RNA from 1 species
AGCUGUCACAUGGAGCUGCAGCAGCUUCCACAGGCCAAAGAAGCUUUGAAUGAUGCGCAGUCUGUCGACCGGGCGUCUGCGCACACAAACUUUCUGUUUUAUAAGCUAGCUCUCAUGGAAGCCGACAUGGAAGCAGCUAGGAGCCUCUGCAAGCAAUGAUCAACAUACAGCAGGAAGAACCAAGGGACUGUGAAGCAGGCAGUGAGGAUCAUUCCCAAAGUCUAUUGUCUCUCGCUGCUCAAAUGGCUCUCGAGCAUAAGCAUGUAUCGCUGGCGAAGAUUGUCUUGAAGAGUCUCAUGGAGACGAACAGUGAUAGGCGACAAACGCUCAAGGCAGCACGUUGCCUUAUUAGACUUACGCUCACCAGCUGCGGCACAGCAGAAGCCUGUAUGGAGGCAGAUGAAAGGACUGACCUGCUUUCUUAUUUUCGAAUUGCCCACAGUUCUCUGUUGGCGCUAAGAGGAUCAGAGGAUAUGGGCAAAGAAACCUUAGAAACUGAGGCAGCAUGGUUCAUGAAAGUUGCUUGGAAUUUUGCACUAAAGAAUGACAAAGACCUAAGUAUCAUGAAAGACCUCUUUUUGGUAUGUUACAAUCUAAUGCCGUUAUGCAAAACUGACAAGCAGACUCUGGAUCACAAGAAAGCGUGUCUGCUGAUGGCUACUGCUGCUUGCAUACAGAUGGCACGAUCCACGGACUCUCGCCAAGAUAUGAAGCGCCUGCUAGAAGAAGCCCUAGCUCAUAUUUCGGAAAGCAAUUCUGUCGACAGUGUUUCACUGGAAGCCACCUGGAGAAACGGUGAAUCACAAGUGUUGCUUCUGCUUUACGAGUUUGAGGCUCUCGUCAAGCUUUUUGACCCCCGAGCAGAGUCUGUGCUGGAGAGAGCUCUAGUAAUUCCAAACUCUGAGCCAAGAAUAUUUGAGUCACUUGCAGCCCUGGCGAUGGAGCGUCCUGUAGGACAUUUCCGGUUGGCCAUUCGCGCCCUGAAGAUGGCUGUACACCUGCACCUUACAGCUCAGCAUCCAGACUUCGGUCAGUGCAGCAAGGACAUCCACAGCCUCAUUCAGAUCAGUCUUUCCUACAGUGAAGAUGAGGCGUUCACCUACUUCAGGGAAGCAGCUGACAUGAUCGAAAAGCGUGCAGAGGGUGAGUAUCCUCAGAUGGAGACGAUAUGGCUUAUGACAAAGGCCUGGAAUACUGGCAUCAGACACUACUGCAGUGACCAGUACAGACAGGCAGAACAGUGGUGUGUCUUGAGUAUGCGUUUCCUGACUCAUCUGGGUUCUCUCAGACUCGACUAUGAAGGACAGAUGAUGUCUGUUUACUCUGAGAUCUUGGACAACCUGGACAAACAAAAAUCUGCAAUGGAUGUUACCAUGAAGUGAAGCGGCCUCGUUAGGUUUUUGGUUAAACGUCUGCAGAGAAAAGAGUUAAGGUCAAACCUCAGCAGGUUUUGCCCCUGGAUUGGCAGCGGUAAAAGUUGACAUUUACAUCCAGGGUUAGUCGACCGGCCUUCCGAAUUUUCACAGCAUGGCUAUACUUCAUUUUCUCUCCAGGCAGAGCUUUUGCAGUGGGCUGAGUAAAAGCUUGAAAUAAAGAUAAGGCAUAAGGAACUGGAAAGUGAAGUCGUUUUGUAUCUGUUCGUAAAAGCGACCUACACUAUGCGUGCACUCAGCCCUACGUGUUCUUCAUCUUUGCCGUUGCUUGUUUGGCGGCAGCCGGAUGUAACAGACCUGAACAAGUGGGUCAGCGCAUGGUGCAAAGAAGCGGGCGUGUGCAGACGCGGCAGUGCGUGACAUGGCUUCCAUAGACACAGUACCCAGCUUCGGCGUUAGGGGUCGGUGAAGCGGACCUAAGCGCUGCUAUCAGAGCUGAUCAUCUGACCCUGUCCCGUCAGUCAUCAUUAUGACACUAGCAGCUUAUAGUGGCAACGUGCGUACGCUGAACUUUUUCUUAAAUCAAAGCUGUGUACCAUCGUCAGUUUAAUUAAUGAGACAUCGGCGAAUGAAGGUAAGUCUAAGCGUCUGAUUGUAGCUGUCACCACCCAGCGUCAAGCUACAGUAAAGAGCUCAACGACAGUAACUUCGCUUUGCUAUCAGUAGUCUGAAGAACUAUCUGAUUUUGUCAAGACCAAGAAUUUUCGUCGACGGGACUCUGAAACUUAUCUGCAGAAAUUUCUUUCAACCAAUCCUUGACAAUAUACAGUUCUCGAAAUACUAUUUCAUGUAGGUAUUUGAUACGCUCAAAUGAGACAGUUGUAGUUGUAAUAAGUGUGAAAGGUGAAGACAUGCUUCCCCUUUAAAAUAGUUUGCUACACUGCACUGUGUUUUGUGUUUUGAACCAACACUGUACCAGUCAUUUUUAGCAUGUAGGCCUGUCUCCAGUUAAGUGAUGUGGAAAGUCGUUUGGAUGCGCUAAUUCUCUUUAGAAAGCACUUGGUGGAUGGCGGAUCAUAAGAAGGAGCUUGAAAUAUUGAAAUGUUAUUUUUGUUACAUAUGAGGAAUUGAACCACAAACGUUGUAGAAUCCGCUUGAGUGCUAACCACUGUUGUACUUUACCCAUAUUUAGUGCUAACCACUAUUGUACUUUACCCAUAUUUAGUGCUAACCACUAUUGUACUUUACCCAUAUUUAGUGCUAACCACUGUUGUACUUUACCCAUAUUUAGGAAAGCGUGUCAAAACCGGAGGAAAACGUGUUUUUGCUCAAAUAUCGAUUUUCUUUUUUUUACGUGUACGAAUCUAUUUUCAAUUUUUACAUGUGGAUAUAUUCUAAUUUUGAUGAAGGUCUUAUUUUUUGUAUAGACAUCAUUCACUGAACAAAUGCGGUGCUAAGAACAUCAAACAAGUACUAUUAGUCAUGUCUUCGUUGCGUGCUUGCGUGUGAACAGCUGCAUAAAAUACGAAUGCAAUUAUCAUGUUUGGUCCUCGAGAAACAAUGGAAAACAAAAUAAUGUAAUAAAAAGUCUUCACGAUAAUAGUCAUAGACUUAGCGCCAGAGAUGCAGAGGUAGUUCAUCUGUUUUGCAAAACAGGUGCAGCUGAGUGUGCCUUUAGCAGAAAGGAGUACUUUGUAG